UGGGGAAUAUUGGGCAAUGGGCGAAAGCCUGACCCAGCCAUGCCGCGUGAGUGAUAAGGCCCUAGGGUUGUAAAACUCUUUCAUCGGUGAAGAUAAUGACGGUAACCGAAGAAGAAGCCCCGGCUAACUUCGUGCCAGCAGCCGCGGUAAUACGAAGGGGGCUAGCGUUGUUCGGAAUCACUGGGCGUAAAGAGCGCGUAGGCGGUUUAACAAGUCAGAGGUGAAAGCCUGGAGCUUAACUCCAGAACUGCCUUUGAAACUGUUAAGCUGGAGUCUCGGAGAGGAUAGUGGAAUUCCUAGUGUAGAGGUGAAAUUCGCAGAUACUAGGAGGAACACCAGUGGCGAAGGCGACUAUCUGGACGAGUACUGACGCUGAGGCGCGAAAGCGUGGGGAGCAAAC
rnacentral:rRNA from 1 species